CUUUAUUUCGUUUUAAUAAUUAAGACAGUAAGAAAAAGUAAUUGAUCCUGAUUUGCUCUGUUAUCAGGUACUUCAGGCCAGCAGCCUGUAUUUAUCAGAUGAUUACCAUAUCUGAGGUACAAUGAAAAAUGUUUCAUGAAAACGUGCCAUAGAAUACUUGCAGAAAGUUCAGAAACUGGGAGGUCUUACUGCACAGCAAUACACAGAUGAGAGUUUAUUCAAAGGUUUCUCAGAUCCCCAUAUCAGCCACG
rnacentral:lncRNA from 1 species